GUGGUGCAUGGUUGUCGUCAGCUCGUGUCGUGAGAUGUUGGGUUAAGUCCCGCAACGAGCGCAACCCUCGUUCUAUGUUGCCAGCACGUAAUGGUGGGAACUCAUGGGAUACUGCCGGGGUCAACUCGGAGGAAGGUGGGGAUGACGUCAAAUCAUCAUGCCCCUUAUGUCUUGGGCUUCACGCAUGCUACAAUGGCCGGUACAAAGGGCUGCAAUACCGUAAGGUGGAGCGAAUCCCAAAAAGCCGGUCCCAGUUCGGAUUGAGGUCUGCAACUCGACCUCAUGAAGUCGGAGUCGCUAGUAAUCGCAGAUCAGCAACGCUGCGGUGAAUACGUUCCCGGGUCUUGUACACACCGCCCGUCAAGUCAUGAAAGUCGGUAACACCUGAAGCCGGUGGCCCAACCCUUGUGGAGGGAGCCGUCGAAGGUGGGAUCGGUAAUUAGGACUAAGUCGUAACAAGGUAGCCGUAA
rnacentral:rRNA from 1 species